UCCUACGGGAGGCAGCAGUGGGGAAUAUUGCACAAUGGGCGCAAGCCUGAUGCAGCGACGCCGCGUGAGGGAUGACGGCCUUCGGGUUGUAAACCUCUUUCNCCNGGGACGAAGCGCAAGUGACGGUACCUGGAGAAGAAGCACCGGCCAACUACGUGCCAGCAGCCGCGGUAAUACGUAGGGUGCGAGCGUUGUCCGGAAUUACUGGGCGUAAAGAGCUCGUAGGCGGUUUGUCGCGUCGUCUGUGAAAUUCUGCAACUCAAUUGCAGGCGUGCAGGCGAUACGGGCAGACUUGAGUACUACAGGGGAGACUGGAAUUCCUGGUGUAGCGGUGAAAUGCGCAGAUAUCAGGAGGAACACCGGUGGCGAAGGCGGGUCUCUGGGUAGUAACUGACGCUGAGGAGCGAAAGCGUGGGGAGCGAACAGGAUUAGAUACCCUGGUAGA
rnacentral:rRNA from 1 species